ensembl:lncRNA
UGUUUCUUUUCCAGAUUCCCGCACCAUUAAAAGCGCUCUCUCUCUGUUGCCUCACGCCGGAACACGGAGCACAGAUCGUUCCGUGUGGAAGCAGGAGGUCCCGUUGUCUCUGUACGGAGGGCCUUUAAACAACAGCAGCAGACUACUACUGCCUGCAUGGAGGGUCCAGAUACUUUGGAUUAAAUUCCAGGAUGAGGCGCACCGGUUAUUCCACUCCUGCUGUUCCCCUCUCCUGACUCCGGCGCAUUGCGAUGGAGCGUGGAAAGAGAUUCCCCUAAGUGACUGUGCUGAAAUUCCACUGCCAUGGCUUGCAGACAUUGGCUGUAGAAGAAGACUGAUUGAAUCCCAGGUGAGGUCCAGAGCGGCCCGUCACCCAAGCCUGCGUUGGUAACGUCAGCAUGCACGGGAUCAUCAGAACCAAAUGAGGCCUUCAGCGCUCUGUCUCGCUCUAUUCCCCGCUGCCCCAUCAGUGAGUAAUACGCUCCAACGCUGCCUUUCUCCUUUUUAGAGUGCAGUACAGCUGAACUGUACAAAGACAUGUGUUUACAUUUUGUUUGCCAGUUGUCUUUGUGCUGCCCAUUCUGUGAUUAGCCACCUUGCUGUGCUUGAAGCUCAGACAGCCGAGGAGAUAAGUGAGGAGGUGAAGGAAAAUGUAUUUGUUUUUCCAUUAGCAAUCUGGCUCCAUCCUGUGCAGCUGAUCAUCCAGAGGUUGGGGUCAUCUCUCUGUGUAUGUCUGUGUGUGUUUCAGAGUUUGAGGGGGUCGGGAUAUGCAUGUGAUCAAAUGCCUCUAUGUGGUUUAUGUGUGUGUGUGUGUGUGUGUGUGUGUGUGUGUGUGUGUGUGUGUGUGUGUGUGUGUGUGUGUGUGUGU